ACUGAAAAAAGUGAUUUUGGAGAGUGGUAAAUAUGAUCUAUACAAAUCAUAUGAAAUUUAAUUUAUUUUUUCAGUUAGCCAAGGAAUUACAAAAUAAUGGGUAAAUUCUACAUAUGCUACCCAUUCGUUAACAUUAAAAACCACUACAUAGGAAAAUACAGUAAAAUAUACCCCCGAAUCUUAAGUCCGGUGCUCCAACGUUGCGCAUGCGUCAAACCGCGUUUUUGAAUGAGCGGGACAGGAAACUCUGCAUCCUUUACCAACGAACCGUCGUGAGCUGAAGCUGAGGAAGCACACACCAAACAGCAAUGGCAGUCCAGUUAAGAGUCAUUUUACAAGAACACAGCAUUAAGAAGUUGACACUUCCAACAGGAAUUCCCAAUACAGUAGAUGAUCUUGUUUCCAUAAUUACUAAAACUUUCCAAUUGCAUGGGGAAUAUGGACUACUAUACCAAGACAAAGACUUUGACAAUCAGUUUUUCAGUGUCACCUCAACUGCUGACUUGUAUGACAAGGCCACUGUUAAAAUGAUCCUAAAAGAGCCUAACAUCACCCUUGACCUACACCCAAUAUUUGAAUCAGGACCAUCAUCUACAUUGAGCUCUUUGAGUUCUGUGAGCACCCAUCCUGCAAGUACUCCUGAAACAAACAUCUGCCCUGAAGAUCAUGAUGCAUCCUCACAGGUGUCCGACUCCACAUCGUCAGAUUCCAGCGACAUAAUUAUUCUGCCUGAUUCAUGUCGCCUUGCUGCAUGGCCAGUGCCAUUUCAAGUACCUGAGUUUUCCAGAGACAUACAACUAAUCCUUGCAGAGGCAAACAACUCAUAUCAUGCCACUGGAAGACACUUCAUGGAUGCCAGCGUUAAAUCAGCAAUAAUGCAAGAAAUGUUUAAAGAAAGGUGGCCAGCAUUAUUCAUUGAAGCUCAGAUCAAGGAAGAGUUCAGACGUAUCACGACAGUUUCUUUGGAGGAGACAUUCAUGCUAAAGCUUGAUGAGUACACACCAGGUCUUAUGCAGCUUAUGUGUGCUAAAGGAGGGGC